GUGCGUGGUCUGGUUCUCCAGAGCUGUAGCUCACUUUAGAGACGGCCUGGGAAGGCGGGGAGGAAAAGGGGUGCGGGAAAUUUAAAAGGGAAGGAAAAGAACUUCCUUUUCUUCUCAUCCGCUUCCUAUUUAUUUAUUUAUUUCUGGAACACUUCUUUCUUAUUGGACGAAGAGACGGAAGAGAUUGCUUCAUUUUACAGUCACCCUAGAAACGCCUCCGUCCUUCUCAGAAAGGAGAGUUGGCAGCGGGUCUGGCUGGCAUUGUGGGAUCUGUACAGGAUCCGCUCUUUGCUCCCGGUCCACGCCGAAGCUGUCAUCGGCUUAGAAUAGCGGUUAAGAAGUGUGGUGUGGAUGGAUGGACGGACCUACCACACGAAAAGCUCAGAAGCCCAGUAAUAUUAAGCAAACACCUUUUUUUUUUUUUUUUUUUGCCUUUGAUCUUUGUGCAAUAUGUUGGCUUUUUCCCCCCUCUGAUAUCACUUGUGUUUUAUUUUUUAUUUGUAGAAUGUCUCCAUCCUUAACCUUAACUUGACUUUUAUAUGCACCCAUUGCUCCUCUGCACAGAGUGGUGUACAAGAUGUGUUUGUGCCUAUAUGAUCUCCCACCAUGAUGCGCCACCAUCUAUUGCCCUCAUUGAAAGCCAAAACAGUGUCCUCUCAUCAGUCUCCUCAUCUUGGACUUUGAACCUCUAAAACUGUGAGCUAAAUAAACCUUUUCUCUUUAUAAGUUACUUGCCUUUGGCAUUUCACUGUAGUAACACAAAGCAAACUAAUACAAUGCCCUUCCAUUACUUUGCACCUGUUCUGCGUAAUCAAACCUAGAUUAUUUCACAGUCUGCUUUUCCUGUUCUUCCUUCUCAAACAACAGGGCUGGAGAAAAUUAUAUGAUGUAGAGUCUUGUGCUGUUGCAGAUUCUGGCUCAACUGAACCCUCAGAAACUGUAUAGAUUCCUUAACUUGUCUUUGAUCAAUUUUCACCAGUAAAUAUACCUACUUUGUCUUUGUCUUUCUAUUCAAGACACAAUCAACUCAGAACUCACAUUCCUAACAAAAGUUUUCUACCUCCUAUUUAAAGGAGAAAACAUUGAGGCCACCUUCAACAUCCCCAUGCCUCUACCAUCUUUUCCUCCUCUUUUUCAAAGGUCAAAACUUCCCAUUUCUUUCAGGGCUUAAACAAUUAUUUUCUUUCUUUUUUCUUUCAGCCACACCUUCAACACUGUCCUCCCCUCAGUUCAUGUGUUCAUCUCUCUUAUCUAAUCCAAAAGCUUGACUAAUGAAGUGCACUGAUGUCUGAAACUUUCUUUGAAAUGAAUCAAAUAAAAAACUAGGUGGAUGAAUGGGUGGAUAAAUAUGUUAUAAACCAAAUAAAACAAAAUGCUGUUUGGAGAAUAUAGGUGAUGGUUACAUGGGUGUUCACUGUACCAUUCUUUCAGUGUUUCUGAAUGUUUAAAAAAUGUCAUAAUAAAAAUGUUGAGUGAAUAAGGCUUCCAAUCCAGUAUCUUUCUCCAGCCAUCAUCCAAUCUCUCUUCUUUCUUUCUCCAUCUAAACUUUUUUAAAAAGUAGACUAUACUCACUACCUGUACUUCCUGUUUAUCUCCCAAUCACUGUUGUUUUCCUCAGAUCUUUAAAAAACAUGUUAUAUAUACAGCUGAAGCCCUGUCCCUUUUUGCAGUAUUACUAGGGAUUGAGCCCAGGAACAUGCUACCACUAAACUACAUCCCUACCCCUUUUUAUUUUCUGAGACAGGGUCUCACUAAGUUGCCCAGGUUGGCCUCAAACUUGGGAUCCUCCUGCCUCAGCCUCCCAAGUAGCUGGAAUUACAAAUGUGCCCACCAUACCAAGCAUGAAGUCCUCUUUGUACUCCAU
ensembl:lncRNA